CAUAGGUUAAUGAGGCGAACCGGGGGAACUGAAACAUCUAAGUACCCCGAGGAAAAGAAAUCAACCGAGAUUCCCCCAGUAGCGGCGAGCGAACGGGGAGCAGCCCAGAGCCUGAAUCAGUGUGUGUGUUAGUGGAAGCGUCUGGAAAGGCGCGCGAUACAGGGUGACAGCCCCGUACACAAAAAUGCACAUGCUGUGAGCUCGAUGAGUAGGGCGGGACACGUGGUAUCCUGUCUGAAUAUGGGGGGACCAUCCUCCAAGGCUAAAUACUCCUGACUGACCGAUAGUGAACCAGUACCGUGAGGGAAAGGCGAAAAGAACCCCGGCGAGGGGAGUGAAAAAGAACCUGAAACCGUGUACGUACAAGCAGUGGGAGCACGCUUAGGCGUGUGACUGCGUACCUUUUGUAUAAUGGGUCAGCGACUUAUAUUCUGUAGCAAGGUUAACCGAAUAGGGGAGCCGAAGGGAAACCGAGUCUUAACUGGGCGUUAAGUUGCAGGGUAUAGACCCGAAACCCGGUGAUCUAGCCAUGGGCAGGUUGAAGGUUGGGUAACACUAACUGGAGGACCGAACCGACUAAUGUUGAAAAAUUAGCGGAUGACUUGUGGCUGGGGGUGAAAGGCCAAUCAAACCGGGAGAUAGCUGGUUCUCCCCGAAAGCUAUUUAGGUAGCGCCUCGUGAAUUCAUCUCCGGGGGUAGAGCACUGUUUCGGCAAGGGGGUCAUCCCGACUUACCAACCCGAUGCAAACUGCGAAUACCGGAGAAUGUUAUCACGGGAGACACACGGCGGGUGCUAACGUCCGUCGUGAAGAGGGAAACAACCCAGACCGCCAGCUAAGGUCCCAAAGUCAUGGUUAAGUGGGAAACGAUGUGGGAAGGCCCAGACAGCCAGGAUGUUGGCUUAGAAGCAGCCAUCAUUUAAAGAAAGCGUAAUAGCUCACUGGUCGAGUCGGCCUGCGCGGAAGAUGUAACGGGGCUAAACCAUGCACCGAAGCUGCGGCAGCGACACUAUGUGUUGUUGGGUAGGGGAGCGUUCUGUAAGCCUGUGAAGGUGUACUGUGAGGUAUGCUGGAGGUAUCAGAAGUGCGAAUGCUGACAUAAGUAACGAUAAAGCGGGUGA
rnacentral:rRNA from 1 species